UUGUUAGAGGAAGAGUGUCACUGUGGGGGUGAGUCUCCUAUGCUCAAGAUAUGUCCAGCUACCCACAUGGGUAGCAGUGAUAUAGUCUCCUGCUGCCUGUGGAUCAAGAUGUAGAAGUCCUGCUUCUCCUGAACCAUGUCUUCCUGCAUAAUGGACUAAACACCUGAAACUGAAACAUUGCGUGGCAUGGAUAAAGCCCGAGGCAAGAUGCUCUCUCUUGCUUUGUGUGAUUCCUACCAGCCUUGGGUAUUUGACUACCCGUUUCAGAUGGAGACUAGCAUGGUCAUAAGCAGAAAGUCUCAGCAAAGGGGCAGGGUGGAGAAUAAGAAGCACGUGUAAACAACUGUAUUAUGUGGCGGUGCCCACCAGAAAGGCAGCUGUGUGGGAGCCAUGCCCGGCAGCAGAGCUGCACACAGGAAUACUGCACCUCUGAACUCUCAUACUUCUUCCCACUGCAUGCCAAGUCCUUUCUGAACCUGUUACACAGAUGUCCUGACUAUUUCUUUCUCUUUUUCCCCACAAGAACUGCCUUUGAGAUUGACUAUUCAAAAUACUCAUCAUUUCUCUCUUCAUGGGAAUUACAUUUUCUCUUCCAUGAUAUCUGACUUGCUCUUGAUUUUUAUAUCCCUGUCUAGUGGAACUCAGAAGUGACCAUGUGAUUUGCUUUGGCCAAUGAUGUGUCAAUUCUACAUAUAAGCUUAAGAAAUAGAUUAUAUAAUUAUCCUUAUCCCUUCACAAAAUUAGCAAUGUUUCAUUCAAAGGCAAGACCCAUUGGUUUGGAUUCCAUUAUGAGAACAGCAAAGAGGAGAAUUACCUACAUAUCAGACCUGUUGGGUAAGAA